rnacentral:lncRNA from 1 species
AUUCAUAUACCUCAUGUCAGUGAUUUUUCGAUGAACCUCCAAAGGGCCAAAUGGCGUUGGCCACUAGACUCAAAUGACUUUUAGUUCACAUGACUUUAGUAAUCAUUGAUAAAUAAAACUAGUUUUGUUACCAUUUAACCAGGUUCUUAUCCACUGCCCAGAUAGAGCCAAACACUGAGACAGCAGGUGUGGUAGUAAAGAAAGACUUUAAUUAUCACAAGGGAACUGCGGAAGGAGAAUGGGAGAUUUCUCAAAGCUGCCUCCCUGAGAAUUCAGAGGCUAGGGUUUUAAGGAUAAUUUGGUGGGAAGAAGGUUAAGGGAUGGGUGUUGCUAAUUUGGUCUGGGAUGAAACCAUAGGGGUGUCAGAGCUGUCUUCAUGUGCUAAAUCAGUUAUUGGGCCAUGGAGAAGUCAUAAUACAAGUCAAGUCAGUUCCUUAGUUACCCUCAUGGGCCACAGGUACAGUUGGCAUCAGUUGGUCCAGGCUGUUAGAGGCAAAGUCUGAAAAAUAUCUCAAAGACCAGUCUUAGGUUUCACAAUAGUGUUUGUGACUGCUGGUUACUAUGGAAAAGCAAGCUGGGAAACAAUGGUGGGUUAUUAUAUAACCAUGACUAUAGCUUAGUAGAAAAGUUUGCAUGAGGUGAAAUCCCUGGUGGUCAAAGCUGCUCAGCCUUCUCUCUGGUCAGUCCAACUUCUGGAAGCCAUAGGGAGGAUCUGCAUAAUCUAAGGAUCAUUAGUCUUUAAAGAAAAAACUUCAUUAAUCUUGUGGGCAGCCUGCCUGGGGUAAGACAAGGAGGACACAAUUGGAGACACAGGUUCUUCUAUCAAGGCCUUGACUGGAAUGGCAUAUUUUCAGAUAUGACCACAUUGCUUUGAGGAAAUGAGGCUGAUGUUGCAGAGCUGAUAAAACCCCCACAGAAAGGCCAGCCUACCUCUGGUGUUGGCCAGAUUGAGAAAUAAAGGGAAAGAGUACGAAAGAGAGAAAUUUUAAAGCUGGGUGUCCGGGGGAGACAUCAUAUGUCAGCAGGUUCCGUGAUGCCCCUCAAGCCACAAAACCAGCAAGUUUUUAUUAGUGAUUUUCAAAGGGGAGGGAGUGUAUGGGUCACAGAGAUCACAUGCUUCACAAGGCAAUAAAAUAUCACAAGGCAAAUGGGGGCAGAGCGAGAUCACAGGACCAGGGCAAAAUUAAAAUUGCUAAUGAAGUUUUGAGCACGCAUUGUCAUUGAUAACAUCUUACCAGGAGACAGGGUUUGAGAGCAGAAAACCGGUCUGACUAAAAUUUACUAGGCAGGAAUUUCCUCAUCCUAAUAGGCCUGGGAGUGCUACGGGAGACCGGGGCUUAUUUCAUCCCUUAUCUGCAACCGUCUAAGACAGACACUCCCAGAGUGGCCAUUUUAGAGACCUACCCCUGGGAAUGCAUUCUCUUUCUCAGGGCUGUUCCUUGCUGAGAAAAAGAAUUCAGCGAUAUUUCUCCUAUUUGCUUUUGUAAGAAGAGAAAUAUGGCUCUGUUCCACCCAGCUCUCAGGCCGUCAGACCUAAUGGUUAUCUCCCUUGUUCCCUGAACAUCACUGUUAUCCUGUUCUUUUUUCAAGGUGCCCAGAUUUCAUAUUGUUUAAACACACAUGCUUUACGAACAAUUUGUGCAGUUAACGCAAUCAUCACAGGGUCCUGAGGCGACAUACAUCCUCAGCUUACAAAAAUGACAGGAUUAAGAGAUAAAAGACAGGCAUAGGAAAUCAUAAGAGUAUUGAUUAGGGAAGUGAUAAAUGUCUAUGAAAUCUUCACAAUUUAUGUUCAGAUAUUGCAGUAAAGACAGGCAUAAGAAAUUAUAAAAGUAUUAAUUUGGGGAACUAAUAAAUGUCCAUGAAAUCUUCACAAUUUAUGUUCUUCUGCCAUGGCUUCAGCCUGUCCCUCCAUUCGGGGUCCCUGACUUCCCGCAACAGGUUAACCUGAUUCCGUACCCAAACCCCAUCACAUCAAGGGUAGCAAUACCUGAAUAUCUAAACUUCUAAAGCAGAGAAAUAAACCUGGAACAUGGUCACUCUACCAAGAAAUUGUUACCAGACCUGUGUGGCUGGACACCUGAUUCUCCCCUGGCAAAUCUUCUAUUUCAUUCGGUCAUCAUCAAUAUUUUUUUCAUUUUCAAUUUUUAACAGUAGGCAGAUAUCUAAGUUUAACUGUCUCAAAGGUUUGAUAUAUGACUUAGGGUUGUAUAUUAUUCAGUGUUUAUUUAAAAGAAUAGAAAAGUCCAAAGACAGGUUCACAAUAAGCAAAAAUACAUACAUACAUAAAUAAGCUUGGAGACUUUUAUAAGAUUAAAAUGAAGUUCUUACAAAUACUUAAAUCAAAAUGCAGCAGGAGUUAUGACAGCAAAAUCUUCAGUCUUAUUUUUAGAGACAGGGUCUCGCUAUGUUGCCCAGACUGGACUUGAACUUCUGGGCUCAUGUGAUCCUCCCACCUCAGCCUCUUGAGUAGCUGGAAUUAUGGAUGCACACCACCAUGCCCAUCUGAAAAUCUGCAGUAUUGACACUGCACUCUAUAAUGCCCUUCCUUAUUGUUCUCUUGACAGUAUCCCCACUGUAUAUUUGUGAAGAUGGCUGAAUGUAUUGAAGUAGAUACUGCUUUUAUAACGUCAAAGCCAUUAUAAUGUCAAAGCCAUAACCAUAAGGUUAUGGGACUGUUAACUGGUGGGUAUCACAACCCUGUUUAUGAGAAAAGCAUUCAGAACUGCAUAGGGGAAGGUGUAGUGAAAUAUUUAUUAUAGGAUAUAUCUUGGAGCUGGCAUAUUCCAAGAUAGGCCAUGGAAUAUGACUCUUUUUUUUGAGAUGGAGUCUUGCCCUGUCACCCAGGCUGGAAUGGAGUGGCAUGAUCUCGGCUCACUGCAACUUCCACCUCCCGGGUUCAAGCACUUUUCUGCCUCAGCCUACAGAGUAGCUGGGAUUACAGGCACCUGCCACCAUGCCUGGCUAAUUUUUGUAUUUUUAGUAGAGACAGGGUUCCACCAUCUUGGCCAGGCUGGUCUUGAACUCCUGACCUCGUGAUCCACCCGCCUCAGCCUCCCAAAGUGUUGGGAUUACAGGUGUGACCCACCACGCCUGGCCAGGAACGUGACUCUUAGUAGUGCUUGUGACCAAAACCUACAGAAGAGAAAAUGCAGUGUAAUAUAGAAGUAACCCUUAGAAUGACUAAUCCAGUUGGAUAAAACUCUUCUCUGUUUCUGUACCUACAAUGUGAGGGGAUGGGAGGUGGGAAAAGUUUGGAAAGUACCUUAUACUGGACCUUUUCUGUAGAACUCUCAAUUUUUGUACUAUUAUCAUUUGCUAAUUUGACAUGAAAUUUAAGCAACCAGCAAUGAGGAAAUACUUAGACUGUAACAGAGCUCUUCAGAGUUCUUUGUUUUGCAACAAUCACCUUUCAAAACUUCCCUAACAACUUGGACAGACAAACCCAGUCGAAUUUACAGAUGCUUGUGGAAAGGUUAGAGAAUUUGAAAGAAAUAAAAAAGAGUUGGGAGUGAAUAUGUGUGUCUUACUGCUUCGGUUUUGUUUCCUAGCAUUUAUUGGUUCAAAUAGAUUUGUUGCUUUGCUGACUCUCUGCUAUCUUCAUAAAAGAUAAGAAAACCUCUCAG